rnacentral:rRNA from 1 species
CCUACGGGCGGCUGCAGUGGGGAAUAUUGCACAAUGGGCGCAAGCCUGAUGCAGCCAUGCCGCGUGUGUGAAGAAGGCCUUCGGGUUGUAAAGCACUUUCAGCGGGGAGGAAGGCGGUGAGGUUAAUAACCUCAUCGAUUGACGUUACCCGCAGAAGAAGCACCGGCUAACUCCGUGCCAGCAGCCGCGGUAAUACGGAGGGUGCAAGCGUUAAUCGGAAUUACUGGGCGUAAAGCGCACGCAGGCGGUCUGUCAAGUCGGAUGUGAAAUCCCCGGGCUCAACCUGGGAACUGCAUUCGAAACUGGCAGGCUAGAGUCUUGUAGAGGGGAGUAGAAUUCCAGGUGUAGCGGUGAAAUGCGUAGAGAUCUGGAGGAAUACCGGUGGCGAAGGCGGCCCCCUGGACAAAGACUGACGCUCAGGUGCGAAAGCGUGGGGAGCAAACAGGAUUAGAUACCCUUGUAGUC